GAGUGGCGGACGGGUGAGUAACGCGUGGAUAACCUGCCUCACACUGGGGGAUAACAGCUAGAAAUGGCUGCUAAUACCGCAUAAGCGCACAGUACCGCAUGGUACGGUGUGAAAAACCCAGGUGGUGUGAGAUGGACCCGCGUCUGAUUAGCUAGUUGGUAAGGUAACGGCUUACCAAGGCGACGAUCAGUAGCCGACCUGAGAGGGUGAUCGGCCACAUUGGAACUGAGACACGGUCCAAACUCCUACGGGAGGCAGCAGUGGGGAAUAUUGCACAAUGGGCGAAAGCCUGAUGCAGCAACGCCGCGUGAGUGAUGAAGGCCUUCGGGUCGUAAAACUCUGUCCUCAAGGAAGAUAAUGACGGUACUUGAGGAGGAAGCCCCGGCUAACUACGUGCCAGCAGCCGCGGUAAUACGUAGGGGGCUAGCGUUAUCCGGAUUUACUGGGCGUAAAGGGUGCGUAGGCGGUCUUUCAAGUCAGGAGUGAAAGGCUACGGCUCAACCGUAGUAAGCUCUUGAAACUGGGAGACUUGAGUGCAGGAGAGGAGAGUGGAAUUCCUAGUGUAGCGGUGAAAUGCGUAGAUAUUAGGAGGACACCAGUUGCGAAGGCGGCUCUCUGGACUGUAACUGACGCU
rnacentral:rRNA from 1 species